CAAUGGUGGGUGCAACUACCAUUGACAAAUGAUAACCCUACUCCUUAAGGUAGGUUGCCCAAUAAUGACAAAUCCUAACAAGCUCUUCAUCAAUGCCUUGCAAAGAUCACAGUCAAAUUGAUGAUCUUGAAAUUUGAACUUUAAUUUCACAACUGGAUCAUUACAAUACAUACUUGGAUACAGAUCUCAUUUUGGAAGGUUGCGUUAUUGCCACGAUGUUUGAGGGAGAAAUCCGAUUGCUGGACUCUCAUCUCGAAGAGACUAUAUUGAGAAAGAUAUCAGCAAAACGAUUGACUAUUUGAAGCAGUGGGUGUAAAAGAAGACGAUUGACAGUGGAGAUACAGAGGAAAUAAGAGAUGAGAGGAAAAGGGAAGGCAUGAGCAGCUCACAGAGUUCGAUCACGAGGAAAAACAUCUCUGUGCAUGUUGUAGAUAAUGAUUCUGAUUAUCCGAUAGUCCACUGCUUACAACUGAUCUUGAUUGGAAAGAUGAGGGAUUUUGAAAUGAAAGUUAAAGCGGUCACACAAGGAAAUGAAGCAUUGGAUCUUAUUCGCAAAGGAGCUUCUUUUGAUCUCGUUAUCAUGGACAUGGAUAUGUCCACAAAUGGGUUUGAGGUAUGUUUCUUCGCAUUGAUCCUGUGGAGUAUAAUUAUAACCAUAAAAGAAGGCAAGGGCUGUGUGCAUGUUCCAGAAAGGCAUUUUUCAUAAUUUACUGGUAAUAUUUGUUUCAUUUUUGAUAUGUUUUGAUGGAGUAAGAUGACAGGAACAAAAGAAACUUGAUUUAUCAAUAUUGAUAUUGGCCUGCUUACAGGAGAUAGUAGUGUUUGUUGACAUGAUUUUAAGGCCAACUUAUUUGUUCAAGCGCAAAAAUGGUAUUCAUAGAAAAGUAAUCGCGAUUUGCUUGAUAGUUUUAGCCUCCGCGAUGGACAUGAACUAAUAUAUGGGUAUACUUCUUAAAUCACCAUUUUAUGAUAGGCAACAAGGGAGCUAUGAGCCUUGGGUGUGAAGAGCAGCAUUAUUGGCGUAAUCUCUUCUACUUCUGAAACUCAGCAACAAGCUUUCAUGGAAGCAGGCCUAGAGGGGUGCUUUGAAAAGACAUUGAAGGCUGAUGUAAUUGCUUCUUUUCUCUCGUAGCUAGUAAACAAAAUGAUCAGCAAUUUGAAGCAAAGAGGCAAUCGAUUAAUAAGCUUUACAGCAUAAGUUUUUUUGGAUCCAAUUGGUUCAUGUUAUGCUUUCUUAUAGUUUCAGAGAUAUGAACACUAGACAAAGUUUCUUACCGGAUACACUAUGAAGUUAAAUGAGUUAUAGAGCCAAUUUUUCUUAGAGAAUGACAAACUUCAAGCUAAACUGGCUAGCUUGGGAAGUGGUAUGCUGCACUAGCUUGUAAAGUGCUGAAAAUUUUAUGUUACUUUCCUGUCUUUUCUGAUGUCAACCAUUCUGCCGGCGAUGUGUUAAAUUCUUGGAUUUGAUUACACCAGAUUUAGGUAAAUGAGUACAAUGUACAUUUGUUUUCCCAUGACAAUAGGUACUACAUAGCAGACUAGCUAUCAGUAUGAUGCAUGUGCUAUAUUUUUCUUACAGGUUCUCCUUUUUUCUUUUAAUUAUUCCGCUCAUUGUUUUAGAUUUGCAAAAUCAGCCAAUUUUUCUUACAGGAGAAUCUAGUUUCUAUAUCUAUUGACUUCUGAAUGGCUACGCAAAGUUUUUUCAUGACAAAAAGGAAUUGAUAGUAAAAGUUACGUUGUCAUUGCUAAGAAUUGGAUGAUUUCUCUGCAGCAGAAAGAGCAUCUAGUUUCGACAUCAAGGGAACCACAUACAGAAAAAUUAGAAGGAAGGCUUCUUUCUGGCAGCUUUUGCAGAAGCAGCAGGUGUUGGACUUUAUCCAUCUUGGCAUUCUUCCCAUCCCUUGCGUCCCUUCUGUGUCUAGCAGGUAUUUAUGGGGAGGCAUCAUGUGAGGUGGAGUCAAUUUCAAGAAAAGUCAACCGAUCCUUGAAAGAUCAACGGGUUUCGAGGGUUUGGACUCUGACCUAAAUAGACAGUUUCUUUCCAUCAUAUUUCUUACCGGUCUUAUUUUCAAUAUCUUGCAUCUCCCCAGGAAUCACUUCCGCAACAGCUUUUAAGUAAUGGUUUCCAGCUUCUUUAUGGAAUUCAUCCUGGUUUCCAAGUACAGCUGCAGAAACACAUCCAUUCCACCUCCACAAUAAAACUGAAAAAAAUCACACAGUGCUGUGUGUGAGAGAGAGAGGAGCAGGGAGGGCACAGGGAAUAGUAUAGUGGCUUUUAUAAAAUUUACCUUCUCCAUUUCUCUGUUCUGAGCUUUGUUGGUUUAGCAAUUGAGUUGCCCUUCACAUAAAAUGCUCAUUUAUGUUCUUUAGCUUCAUUGAUGAUCUUAUUUUGCAUCUACUUUCCUCAA